UUUGUAACAACUGAAAGGAGAUAUGGCAGAUACAGUUGUGAAUUUUCUGGUAGAGAAUUUGUUGCAGCUAUUAACUGAAAAUGUGAAGCUAAUUGGAGGUGCAAAGGGAGAAUUGGAAAAUCUACUUAAAAUUGCUCAACAACUCAAAGCUUUUUUAGAUGAUGCCGCAAAAUACGGAUACACGAAUAGUGAGCAGUGGAAAGUUUUGGUGAUAGAAAUACAUAAAACUGUGCACAGAGCUGAAGAUGCCAUUGAUAAGUUUCUGGUUCAAGCAAAGCUGCAUCAAGAUAAAAAUACGAUGGGAAGGAUAUUUGAUUGGCCACGCAAUUUGAUUAAAGUUAGGAAUCUUGCUGCUGAGAUUAAAGGUAUACAUGAUCAAGUCAAAGAACUUCGUAAAAACAAUCAAGCACUUCAGGCAACCCCUGUUCUUGAGCUCCCUAAAAAAGGGGAAAUAACUCAGGGUCCUUCUUUGGAGAAUGACGCAGUGGUCGGGUUUGAUGACGAAGCUAAUAAAGUGAUCAAGCGACUUGUUGAAGGACCGAUGGAAAGUGUCGAUAUUAUCCCAGUGGUGGGGAUGCCCGGACUUGGAAAAACUACACUGGCAAGAAAAAUCUAUAAUGAUUCUAAGCUUACAUAUGAAUUUUACAGCAUUGUUUGGGUUUACGUCGGUCAGGAAUGCAAAGCAAAGGAUAUUUAUCUUAGGAUUCUUAAAUUCUUCAAAAAAAACAUAGAAGAUCAUCUCAAUGAUGAUGUGGACACAUUGGCUAAGGCAAUAGGUGGUUAUAUCAAGAAAGGAGGUAGAUGUCUCAUUGUUUUAGAUGAUGUGUGGGAAGACGAAGUCAUUGAUCAUGUAAGGAAAGUUUUCGCAGAAAACAAGAAGGGUCAUCGGAUUAUGAUGACCACACGUGACUUACGUGUUGCUAAAUUUGCCAAUUCAGAACCUCAUGUGCUGAAAUUCUUGAAGACAGAAGAAAGUUUUGAAUUGUUGGUAAUGAGAGUUUUUGGCAAGGGAAGUUGUCCAAAUGAAUUAGUGGUAACUGGGAAAAAAAUUGCAGAAAAAUGUGGUGGAGUACCACUUGUAGUAGUGGUAAUUGCAGGAGCAUUAAGAGGUCGUUCGGACAAAAAGGAUUGGGAAAGAGUUGACAAAAUGUGGUGCAACAUUUUGGUGAGCAUACCGAAGAUAGCUGCCUGAAAUUUGUGAAGAUGAGUUAUGAUCAUUUGCCCGGAGAAGUGCAGAUGUGCUUCUUGUAUUGUGGUGUCUUUCCUCGAGGCUUUGAUAUCCCUUGUUGGAAAUUGAUUCGUUUGUGGAUAGCAGAGGGGUUGAUAAAGCCACAGCCUGAGUUCACACUAGAGGAGAUAGCAGAGUUUUAUUUGACAGAUCUUCUCAACAGAAAUUUAGUAAUAAUAAUGCAAAAGAGGUCUGAUGGUCAAAUAAAAACAUGUCGUCUUCACGACAUGUUGUAUCAGUUCUGCAAAAAGGAGGCUAGUAACAAAUGGCUUUUUCAAGAACCUGAUCAAUCUAACUGGACCCAGAUACUUGCCGUCGAUUGUGUAUUCAACCAUCUAAUCUGUCUGACUUUCUCUCCACAACACCUGUUGCAGAACAUGUCAGAUCUUUCUAUUGUUUUUCCUCAAAACAAAAACCAAUUGAGUUGUCUCCUAAUGAAAUCAAACUCAUUCACAAAGCCUUUCCACUUAUGAGAGUCUUGGAUGUUGAAUCUCUCAAGUUUAUUUUC